AACGCACGAGACCUGCGGACCUGCGGAGGGAUCAUUACUGAAUAGCAAAGGGAAAGACUGAUUGCUGACUCUUGAAAAGGAGUAUGUGCACGUCUUUCUUUUAACGCUUUCAAAUCUCUAUACACAUUUGUGCACAUUUGUAGGCUGAGAAAUCAGUCUAUGUUUUUUUCUAUACACACGCUUUAGAAAAAAAGUUUUGAAUAUAUAAUGUAUUUUGAUACAACUUUUAACAACGGAUCU
rnacentral:misc_RNA from 1 species